rnacentral:rRNA from 1 species
AAAAAAAGCCUCUAAGCUUCAGAUCACAUUGGACCGUACCGUAAACCGACACUGGUGGGUGAGCAGAUAAUCUGCCAAGGCGCUUGAGAGAACUCGGGUUAAGGAACUCUGCAAAUUGAUACCGUAACUUCGGAAGAAGGUAUGCCUUCGACGGUGUAGGGAUUUACUCCCGAAGCUGUUGAAGGUCGCAGGUAAUCGGUGGCUGCGACUGUUUAUCAAAAACACAGGACUCUGCGAACACGCAAGUGGAAGUAUAGGGUCUGACGCCUGCCCGGUGCCGGAAGGUUAAUUGAUGGGGUUAGCCGCAAGGCGAAGCUCUUGAUCGAAGCCCCGGUAAACGGCGGCCGUAACGAUAACGGUCCUAAGGUAGCGAAAUUCCUUGUCGGGUAAGUUCCGACCUGCACGAAUGGCGUAACGCUGGCCACACUGUCUCGACCCGAGACUCAGUGAAGUUGAAAUCGCUGUGAAGAUGCGGCGUUCCCGCGGCAAGACGGAAAGACCCCGUGAACCUUCACUACAGCUUUACACUGAACUUUGAACCUUUCUGUGUAGGAUAGGUGGGAGGCUAUGAAACUUGGGCGCUAGCUCGAGUGGAGCCAACCUUGAAAUACCACCCUGGGAUGUUUGAAGUUCUAACCUUGGUCCGUAAUCCGGAUUGGGGACAGUGUAUGGUGGGUAGUUUGACUGGGGCGGUCUCCUCCCAAAGAGUAACGGAGGAGUGCAAUGGUACGCUCAGCGCGGUCGGUCAUCGCGCUCUAGAGUGCAAAGGCAUAAGCGUGCUUAACUGUGAGACAGACACGUCGAACAGGUACGAAAGUAGGUCUUAGUGAUCCGGUGGUUCUGUAUGGAAGGGCCAUCGCUCAACGGAUAAAAGGUACUCCGGGGAUAACAGGCUUAUUCCUCCCAAGAGUCCACAUCGACGGAGGAGUUUGGCACCUCGAUGUCGGCUCAUCACAUCCUGGGGCUGUAGCAGGUCCCAAGGGUAUGGCUGUUCGCCAUUUAAAGUGGUACGCGAGCUGGGUUCAGAACGUCGUGAGACAGUUCGGUCCCUAUCUGCCGUGGGCGUUGGAAACUUGAGGGUGAGCUGUCCUUAGUACGAGAGGACCGGGAUGGACGUAUCUCUGGUGUUCCGGUUGUCACGCCAGUGGCACUGCCGGGUAGCUAUAUACGGACGGGAUAAGCGCUGAAAGCAUCUAAGCGCGAAGCCCCCCCCAAGAUUAGGUUUCCCUGGGAACUCGAUUCCCCUAAAGGGCCGUCGGAGACUACGACGUUGAUAGGCUGGGUGUGUAAGUGCAGCAAUGCAUUGAGCUAACCAGUACUAAUUGCCCGUGAGGCUUGACC